rnacentral:rRNA from 1 species
UGGUGGAGUGAUUUGUCUGGUUAAUUCCGUUAACGAACGAGACCUUAGCCUGCUAAAUAGUUACACAUAACACCAGUCAUGUGGGCAGCUUCUUAGAGGGACUUUGCGUGUCUAACGCAAGGAAGUUUGAGGCAAUAACA